UACGGAGGAUGCGAGCGUUAUCCGGGUUUAUUGGGUUUAAAGGGAGCGCAGACGGGAGAUUAAGUCAGUUGUGAAAGUUUGCGGCUCAACCGUAAAAUUGCAGUUGAUACUGGUUUCCUUGAGUGCAGUUGAGGCAGGCGGAAUUCGUGGUGUAGCGGUGAAAUGCUUAGAUAUCACGAAGAACCCCGAUUGCGAAGGCAGCUUGCUAAACUGUAACUGACGUUCAUGCUCGAAAGUGUGGGUAUCAAACAGG
rnacentral:rRNA from 1 species